CGCCCAGGAGUGCAUGGCCUGGGCGAGUCCGGUGGCCACCGGGGACGACCCCG
rnacentral:ncRNA from 1 species